GACCAUGUGGCCUAAUGGAUAAGGCAUCUGACUUUAAUUCAGCUGAUUGAGAGUUUGAGUCCCGUUGUGGUUG
rnacentral:tRNA from 1 species